rnacentral:rRNA from 1 species
GACAGAGGGGGCAAGCGUUGCUCGGAAUUACUGGGCGUAAAGGGCGCGUAGGCGGGAUGGCAAGUCGGUCGUGAAAUCCCUCGGCUCAACCGAAGAACGUCGAUCGAUACUGCUGUUCUUGAGGAUUGCAGAGGAGACUGGAAUUCCCGGUGUAGCGGUGAAAUGUGUAGAGAUCGGGAGGAACACCGGUGGCGAAGGCGGGUCUCUGGGCAAUUCCUGACGCUGAGGCGCGAAAAGCGUGGGGAGCAAACGGG